CAUAUUUGGCACUGGUUCGACCCUUGAAUUCGGAUUUGCCAUUAAAAAAACUCAAACUGCAAAAUUGCCAUCGAAAGCGCCUUGAAUUCAAUCCGUUUGCCACUGCCCAUUCGUUCCAUUUACUAUCGACAAAUUUAGGGCACAAAAAUAAAUGGCAAAAAUAAAAAGAAAAAUCCCAAGAACAUGAAAAGACAGAAUUGCCCAUACCCUAUCAAUAUCUCUCUGGACCUCCUCUAUCGAACUCAUUCUCUCCGGCAACAGGAACCGAACUCCGUGUCUCUCUCGAACUCUCUCCUCUAGCACAAACCCUAGAUCCUCAAAUCCCCCUCCCCCUCUCCCUAAUUCAGUGCGAAUCCCCUCAAAUCGAUCGCAAUUGAGUAGGAGAUGGGGUCUGUAGAGUUGGAUUUGUUGGAGGAGCAGCUGCAGUGGGGAUUUAGGACAUUAGGGCUGCAGCUUUAGAGUUGGCGGCUGCGGCUUCUGAGGCUCAGCGACUGGGGCACGACAGGCGGUCGCAGCUCGGGCUUGGCGACUGGGGCGCGGCUGCAGGUGCGACUAUGACUGCUCCUAGCACGGCAAGCUGCAGCUGCUACUGGGUUUGACCAUGGUUUGAAUAGAACGAACGGGUGCGACUCGUCCUCAGGAGGGAGACAACAUGGAAGGUAAGCGUGAAAUGGCAGAAGGAGGUCUUUCCAGGCAUAGAGAUUGACACUCUCCUAGAAUUCUUUGAUGUUGAUUCAAACUUUUUAGAAGAUUUCCCCCCUUUUUCGUUUGUUGUAGGAAUCCUCGAAGUUUUAACACAGUUAUCGUCAGGGUAGAAUCCUUUUUCUUAGCGUCAAGACAGGGUCACAAGGCAUAUGUGAAGGGGACUAGUGAGAAAUUGAAUGCUGAAAGAGAUAGGUAUUCGAUGCUUGAGUUAGUUGACGAUUUAGGGAAAAGGUUUAAUUGGGGGCCAAACCAGUACAUCACCUUCUGGAGAUCGGUUGAUGCAUCAAAUCACAGUGAAGUAGAGAUAACCACAGAUGCACAAUUGCUAGAUUGGUUUGAUCAGCUUGGUGAGCAUGGGAUUGUCCACAUAAAUGCUGUCAUCUGUGAAUUUGGUGGCCCAUUGCUUUGUUUACCUUCCCCAACUAAAAGAAGGUGCCACCCAUCAGUGAGGAAUAACCAUACUGAAAAUGUCAUCCCUUGCACUCCAUUAGUCUUUAGUGACUCAUGGGUUGAUGCUACACAGUUAACCCAGCCUGAGAGCACCACCCAUCCUGAGAGCACCAACCAUGUCAAUGAAGCCACAUCACCCAUUAAGGACAAAUGUAAGAAGCGUGCGAAGAAAGGUAGAAAGAAGAGAAAACGCAGGGCUGAUGACGACGACGAAGAAGUUAGGGAUAGUGAUGAGGAGGAGGAGCAGCAGGAGCAACUAUGCCUAGAUUGUGAUCCAUUAGAGGUGCAUAGUGACAACAGCUAUGACAGUGAUGCAGUCGCAUCCUCUUCUGACUCUGACUAAGAUGUUGAUGAGCUCGAUGAGGAAGUAGAUGAUGAUGGCGAUGACUCUGACCUUGAACCUGUGUUUGCAUAUGAUUUUGAUGAUCCAUGUAUUGAUGAAGGUGAGGUAUUCGCAGACACUGCUACUUGCAAGGCAGCUGUUACACACCAUGCUAUAGUCCAUGACUAUGCUUUUGAAACUGAGAAAAAGGAUCCAUCAAGGUUUAGAGCUUUCUGCAAGAAAAAAAAGGGUUGCAAGUGGAGGUUCCAUGCCUCAACAAGUAAGAAGUACUUUGGUUGUAAGGUAAAUGUGUGUUAAAAUAAUUUCAGUUAACAAUUGUACCACUUUCAGAAACUGUUUGGGAAGUAGGAUGAUAGCUAUGCAUUGAUGCCCACUUUUAGAGAAGAGAUAUUGAAUGCACAACCUGGAAGUACUGUAGAGAUUGACACCGAGAUUCAUGCAGAGGAAGUGUGCUUCAGGAGGAUGUUCAUAGCUCUAAAACCCUUCAUUGAUGGGUUUCUACAAGGUUGUAGGCCUUAUAUUGCAAUGGACUCAACACACUUAACAGGGAAGCAUAGAGGGCAGUUGGCAGUAGAUGGGAACAACUGGCUUUUUCCUGUUGCAUAUGGUGUGAUAGAGUCUGAGUCCAAAGAGAGUUGGACAUGGUUUGUGGAGAACUUGGAGAGGGCAAUUGGUAAUCCUCUUUGGUGUCAUCAGCACAGAUGCUGGGAAAGGCAUAGAGGGUGUUGUUAGUGCUGUUUAUCCAACUGCAGAGCAUCGGGGGUGCAUGAGACAUCUAUGGAAGAACUUCAAGAAGCAGUACCAUGGGCCACUGUUUGCUGAAAAUAUGUGGCAUGUUGCCAAGUGCUACACUAAUCAGCAAUUCAACUACCACAUGAACAAGAUUGCUGAGAGAUAUCCUGAUGCUGUUGAUUAUUUACAGAAGAAUCACCCUUUUCUAUGGAGCAGGGGCCAAUUCUUUGAGAUAUCAAAGGUGGACUAUAUUAACAACAAUCUUUCUGAGUCAUUCAACAAUUGGGUGAUGAAAAUCAAGGAGUUGCAGAUUGUGGACUUGUGUGACAACCUUAGGCAAAUGAUAAUUUAGAAAUUUUAGUUGAGGAGUCGGCUUGCAAGGAAAAUGGAAGGAAGGAUAAUUCCAACUAUUGUUAGUAAGCUAAACAAACAAAGCAAGAAUCUCAAGGAUUAUAGUGUGUUAAGGAGUAAUAAUGAUGAUGCAGCUGAAGUUUCUGUGGUGUCUAAGAAAGGAGUGAUAUGGAGACAUGCGGUGAACUUGAAGGAUCAGACAUGCUCUUGUAGAGCUUGGCACGUUAGCGGGAGCCUUGUAACCAUGCAUUGGCUUUUAUAGGUUCCCUCAGGUCACCUGAUAUGCACAAUUAUGUGCAUGAGUACUACUCAAUACAGAGGUUGAGGCAAACAUAUGCUGGAGUAUGGAACCCAAUGACAUCUAAGAACCAAUGGACAAUUGUAGAUCCUUGUUUCAAGUUGAAAAAGCCAAAGCCGAGGAGAAAGCCUGGGAGGCCUAGGACUCACAGAAUUCAAGCUUCUGAUGAGCAUGGUUGUAGAAAGAAGAGGACAUGCCGUGAGUGUGGUGACACAGGCCAUUUUGCAAAGACCUAUCAAGGAGGACCUAUAGUUAGGAAAAGGUAAUUUUCAUUCAUUUUCAUGUGAUCCAUUUUUAUUUAUACAUUAUCUAUUAACUCCUUUUUUUGGUGCAGGAAAAGGACUCCAUCCUCAGAUCAAGGGAGCAAUGAUCCAUCCAAUUUUCAUGGUGCGUCACCUAGGCCAAGGUCCAAGAAAAGCUCUACUAGUGGAUCAUCUAGGUAACUAACAUCCUGCUGCCAAUUUCACAAUCGCUUGUAUCCUAUGUACCACAACUUAUACAAAUGUUGUUGCAAUGGCAUUGCAAAUGAGGUGACAGUAAAGCCGCCAAGAGCAAGGGGGAAGGGGAAGAGAAAGAUAGGUUCUGUUGCUGCCUCCAUUUGAUGAGUGAUGGGGCCUCAGUCCUAUGUAGUCAUCUUUUGGAACUCGCUGUCCUAAUGUGCUUGUGAUUUCUGGUUGAGCUAUAUGAUGUACUCCUAAUAUCAUAUGUACUCAUCGUUUGGAUGUCAUGUUGGACAAGAUGAUGUGAACCUUAAAUUAGUUGUCCUGUCAUAUGCUUUGUGUUGCCAAAUUGAACUAGAUUAUGUAUUUGUACUGUGAUGUGAACCUUAAAUUAGCAGGCUCUAAAUGUACUGCUAUCAUUAUGUUGGAAAA